rnacentral:rRNA from 2 species
GGACUACUGGGGUAUCUAAUCCCGUUUGCUCCCCUGGCUUUCGCGCCUCAGCGUCAGAAAAGGUCCAGCGUGUCGCUUUCGCCACCGGCGUUCCUUCCGAUAUCUACGCAUUUCACCGCUCCACCGGAAGUUCCACACGCCCCUACCUUCCUCCAGACCAGCAGUAUCCAAGGCCCUUUUCCGGUUGAGCCGAAAGCUUUCACCCCGGACUUGCUGACCCGCCUACGCGCCCUUUAAGCCCAGUGAAUCCGAACAACGUUCGCACGGUUCGUCUUACCGCGGCGGCUGGCAC